GAUGAACGCUGGCGGCGUGCCUAAUACAUGCAAGUCGAGCGAACAGACGAGGAGCUUGCUCCUCUGACGUUAGCGGCGGACGGGUGAGUAACACGUGGAUAACCUACCUCUAAGACUGGGAUAACUUCGGGAAACCGGAGCUAAUACCGGAUAAUAUAUUGAACCGCAUGGUUCAAUAGUGUAAGACGGUUUUGCUGUCACUUAUAGAUGGAUCCGCGCCGCAUUAGCUAGUUGGUAAGGUAACGGCUUACCAAGGCGACGAUGCGUAGCCGACCUGAGAGGGUGGUCGGCCGCACUGGAACGGAGACACGGUCCAGACUCCUACGGGAGGCAGCAGUAGGGAAUCUUCCGCAAUGGGCGAAAGACUGAUGGAGCAACGCCGCGUGGGUGAUGAAGGUCUUCGGAUCGUAAAACUCUGUUAUUAGGGAAGAACAAAUGUGUAAGUAACUAUGCACGUCUUGACGGUACCUAAUCAGAAAGCCACGGCUAACUACGUG
rnacentral:rRNA from 1 species